UGGGGGAUAUUGCGCAAUGGGGGAAACCCUGACGCAGCAACGCCGCGUGAAGGAAGAAGGUUUUCGGAUCGUAAACUUCUGUUCUUAGGGAAGAAGACAGUGACGGUACCUAAGGAGCAAGCCACGGCUAACUACGUGCCAGCAGCCGCGGUAAUACGUAGGUGGCAAGCGUUGUCCGGAUUUACUGGGUGUAAAGGGCGCGUAGGCGGGAUAUCAAGUCAGUCGUGAAAUACCGGGGCUCAACUCCGGGGCUGCGAUUGAAACUGAUAUUCUUGAGUAUCGGAGAGGAAAGCGGAAUUCCUAGUGUAGCGGUGAAAUGCGUAGAUAUUAGGAGGAACACCAGUGGCGAAGGCGGCUUUCUGGACGACAACUGACGCUGAGGCGCGAAAGUGUGGGGAGCAAACAGG
rnacentral:rRNA from 1 species